GCCCGGCGGCGGACGGUGGCCGGGCGGCUUGUCCGGCUCGCAGUCGGGCACGUCGCGGCCGGUCCAGCGGCCGGCGGCCGGGUCCCA
rnacentral:tRNA from 1 species